rnacentral:rRNA from 1 species
CGCGACCGCAGGUUAAGCGGGGUUACCCGCUGAAUUUAA